CUUAUGCUGGGCAACCAUUAAUCUGUUCUCCAUAAAAAUUUGUAAUUUUAAAAAUGUUUUAUAAACUGAUUUUUAUGUGAUCUGUAAUGUUUGUGAGGGUAUCUCUGUAUUAGUUUGCUAGGGCUGCCAUAAAAAAAUAGUGGGUAGCUUAAAUAACCGAAAUUUCUUUUCUCACAGUUCUGGAGGCUGGAAGUCCAAGAUCAAGGUGCUAUCAGGGUUGGUUUCGGCUGUGGCCUCUCUUCCUGGCUUGUAGACAGCUAUCUUCUCGCAGUGUCCUCACGUGGCCUCUUUGUGUGAAGUUAAAAAUGAACAGAUCAACCUUUUACUCUUCUCUGAAAAAUAUAGUGAAAUUAAUAAUCAAGAACGAUUUUCUGAAAUGAAAACAUCCGAACAGCAUACUGCAAAGACAUUCAGGGGAAAAUAAAAUAGGUUUUGGCAAACGUCUAAUGACACAGAGCCACCAUUGCCAAUUUCACCACUGUCUUUCACCAAGUUGAUUCAUUUUGAACUGGCUCCAGCAAUCUACUCAGAGUUGACCUCAGAGCAAAAAAUUGAAGAAGCUGCUAAAGAAUGUGCUUGACUAAAACAAGGCAAUAAGCAAAAGGAAGUCAUAGCAUCCAGAAAAUGGGAUCCAUCAUGCGCACAAAGAAAAGGUGAAGAAAAUUUCCAGGAUGUUCAGAACCCACCAAAAACGAAAGAUUCUGGUCCAGAUCAGAAGAGAGGGAAACACUCUGAAAAAGUCCCUCAAAUACAAAAUUAAACAGAGUUUAAAUGAUGUGCUUGACCACAAUAAAAGGCUUCUUGCUCUGUAAGAUUUCUGGAAUUAAUUAGUGAUAAGCAAAGAUAAAUAUAAGCAAAUCAUCACAACAGAGUGAACACAUUCCAGUAGACCACAUGGAUGAGCUUUGGAAAAUACAGAUAUACGCAUAAUGUAAUCCCUUAAUUUCUGGGAGGCUGGAGGGAGGGAAAGUUUGAGAAGGUAAAAUGUGUGUGUUAAGAGUGGGAGUGGGUAAUAUGGUUAGGCUUUGUGUUCCCACACAAAUCUCAUCUGGAAUUGUAAUCCCCAUAAUCCCCACUUAUCAAGGGAGAAACCAGGUGGAGAUAACUGAAUCAUUGGAGGCAGUUUCCCCCAUGCUAUUCCUCUGAUAGUGAAUUCUCAUGAGAUCCAAUGAUUUUAUAACGGACUCUUCCCCCUUCACUCAGC
rnacentral:lncRNA from 1 species